UCGAGAAUCUUUCACAAUGGACGAAAGUCUGAUGGAGCGACGCCGCGUGCAGGAUGAAGGUCUUCGGAUUGUAAACUGCUUUUGUCUGGAAAGAAUGUUUCAUGGUUAAUAGUCAUGAAAUUGACGGUACCAGACGAAUAAGCCACGGCCAACUCCGUGCCAGCAGCCGCGGUAAUACGGAGGUGGCAAGCGUUACUCGGAAUCAUUGGGUGUAAAGGGCAAGUAGGCGGUCUAUUAAGUGAGGGGUGAAAUCUCCCGGCUCAAUCGGGAAUGUGCCUUUCAAACUGAUAGACUUGAGGUCAUAAGGGGGAAACGGAAUUAGCGGUGUAAGGGUGAAAUCUGUAGAUAUCGCUAAGAACACCGGCGGCGAAGGCGGUUUCCUGGUAUGAUCCUGACGCUGAAUUGCGAAAGCUAGGGGAGCAAACAGG
rnacentral:rRNA from 1 species